rnacentral:rRNA from 1 species
UACGGAGGGGACUAGCGUUGUUCGGAAUUACUGGGCGUAAAGCGCACGUAGGCGGAUUUGUAAGUCAGGGGUGAAAUCCCGGGGCUCAACCUCGGAACUGCCUUUGAUACUGCAAAUCUCGAGUCCGGAAGAGGUGAGUGGAAUUCCUAGUGUAGAGGUGAAAUUCGUAGAUAUUAGGAAGAACACCAUUGGCGAAGGCGGCUCACUGGUCCGGUACUGACGCUGAGGUGCGAAAGCGUGGGGAGCAAACAGG